AGGGGGAGCUUUUGACCUGUUUAAUACAGAUUUACAUUGCUUCAAUCUGGAUUUUCGAGGCUCGAUUGAGUGAUUUUGAACGAUAAAAACCGAAAUCAAAUGUUUAAUUUCAGUUUCUUCACGGUUUUUCUGGUUUUUUUUUAAUUUUUCUGUUUAGAUCCUUGGAGUUGUUCUUUUCCAAUCAAAAUUUGCAGGAAUUUAUGGUUGUUCUACGCUCGAUCUGGUUUCAUUCUGGUUGCGUAGCAGACUGGAUCGAUGGAGGUUUCUUCAUCGUCUCCGUUCAUGACGUGCGGCUGAAGGUAUAGGCCAGGUGGUAUUUUUGUAAUAUUUUCAAUGUGGGCUGUAUAAAUGUUGAUUGGGCCGGCCCAUAGUAAUAUUGUAAUUUUACCCUUUUUAAAAUUUUCCUAUUUUUUUUCAUAAUAUUUAUGGUAGUUAAGAAGAUAUUUUAAUAUUUCAAAAAAUAUAUAUAUCUAUUGAGUGAAUUUUUAUAAAAAAUGACAGUUUUUUUUUUAUUAAGAUAUAUUUUAAUAUUAAUUUUUAAAUAAAUUAAUAUAAAUAGAAAGUAUCUAGGCAUAAAACUAAGUAUAAUUUAUUAAUUUAUUUAAAACAAAUCUAUUUUUGAAACUAUCAAAACAUAUAGUGGCGAAAAAUAAGUAUUCAAUCAAAAGUGCACUAUAAAUUGGGGCUAUUCUUCAGCCACCAAUUUCUGAAGAAAACGACAUAGAAAGGGAGAGGAAGUCGAUUCCAACACUCUUGAGGUAAAUCGACAAAAUAUUAGGAAACAGGUUAACCCUCUGCCUUUUUGUUGAGGUAUAUUGUCGAUGAUGAAGGAUGAACGAGCCCAUAUUAACAACAGUCAAAUCCCUAACGCUGAGUGGCAAGACCCAUUUAUUGUACAAAUAUCGAUAAAUAGGUUAAUAUAGGUCUAGAAUCCAAUGAAAUGCAAUGAGACAGCAGCUGGAAUACUUGAAGACAGAGCUAUAUUCCUAUGGAGGAGCACCUUUAUCUGAUGAAGUAUAUAUAUUUAUUAUAUUAGAACCUUCUUUUGCUUGAAAUGGGUUGAAUCUGAAGUGGCGUCUAUUAAAAAGAAAUUUAUUUAAUGGUGUAUUAUUGCCACUACCUUAGGUUCUUAAGGAAUGGAUUGCAUUCCUUGAAGCAAGCAAUCUAGAUGUUUUUUGAGAACCUCAUGUAUAACGCAGUAGACAUGUUGUAGUGGGACAGUGUGAAGUAGAUGUAACAAGUGUACUAAACUCAUGUGAAUAUUUUGGUAUGAUAUAUUUUUAAGAACAAAUAUAUGUCUUACUACAUCUCCUUUAUUAUGUUUCAACAAUUUAAUUGAGAUAAUGUUUUCUCUUUU